rnacentral:tRNA from 1 species
GGGAAUAUGGCUUAGUGGUAGAGUGCUUGCCUGGGAUGCAUGCAUGAGGGUUCGAUUCCUUGGUACCA